UAACAGAUUACGCUUAGGCCUGGGA
rnacentral:sRNA from 1 species